AUUGAACGCUGGCGGCAGGCCUAACACAUGCAAGUCGAGCGGAUGAAGGGAGCUUGCUCCUGGAUUCAGCGGCGGACGGGUGAGUAAUGCCUAGGAAUCUGCCUGGUAGUGGGGGAUAACGUCCGGAAACGGGCGCUAAUACCGCAUACGUCCUGAGGGAGAAAGUGGGGGAUCUUCGGACCUCACGCUAUCAGAUGAGCCUAGGUCGGAUUAGCUAGUUGGUGGGGUAAAGGCCUACCAAGGCGACGAUCCGUAACUGGUCUGAGAGGAUGAUCAGUCACACGGGAGCUGAGACACGGUCCAGACUCCUACGGGAGGCAGCAGUGGGGAAUAUUGGACAAUGGGCGAAAGCCUGAUCCAGCCAUGCCGCGUGUGUGAAGAAGGUCUUCGGAUUGUAAAGCACUUUAAGUUGGGAGGAAGGGCAGUAAGUUAAUACCUUGCUGUUUUGACGUUACCAACAGAAUAGGCACCGGCUAACUUCGU
rnacentral:rRNA from 1 species